rnacentral:rRNA from 1 species
GCCGCGAAUUCGCCCUUAGGGUUUGAUUAUGGCUCAGAUUGAACGCUGGCGGCAGGCCUAACACAUGCAAGUCGAGCGGUAGCACAGGAGAGCUUGCUCUCCGGGUGACGAGCGGCGGACGGGUGAGUAAUGUCUGGGAAACUGCCCGAUGGAGGGGGAUAACCACUGGAAACGGUGGCUAAUACCGCAUAACGUCUACGGACCAAAGAGGGGGACCUUCGGGCCUCUUGCCAUCGGAUGUGCCCAGAUGGGAUUAGCUAGUAGGUGGGGUAACGGCUCACCUAGGCGACGAUCCCUAGCUGGUCUGAGAGGAUGACCAGCCACACUGGAACUGAGACACGGUCCAGACUCCUACGGGAGGCAGCAGUGGGGAAUAUUGCACAAUGGGCGCAAGCCUGAUGCAGCCAUGCCGCGUGUGUGAAGAAGGCCUUCGGGUUGUAAAGCACUUUCAGCGAGGAGGAAGGCCAAUAGCUUAAUACGCUGUUGGAUUGACGUUACUCGCAGAAGAAGCACCGGCUAACUCCGUGCCAGCAGCCGCGGUAAUACGGAGGGUGCAAGCGUUAAUC